rnacentral:tRNA from 1 species
GGGGCGGACCGCUCAGUGGUAGAGCGCAUGCUUAGCAUGCAUGAGGUCCUGGGUUCAAUCCCCAGCACCUCCA